GACAGAGGGUGCAAACGUUGUUCGGAAUUACUGGGCGUAAAGCGCGUGUAGGCGGCUUGGCAAGUCGGGUGUGAAAGCCCUGGGCUCAACCCAGGAAGUGCACUCGAAACUGCUUCGCUCGAGUAUCGGAGAGGAAAGCGGAAUUCUCGGUGUAGAGGUGAAAUGCGUAGAUAUCGGGAGGAACAUCCGUGGCGAAGGCGGCCACCUGGACCAGCACUGACACUGAGGCACGAAAGCGUGGGGAGCAAACAGG
rnacentral:rRNA from 1 species